rnacentral:hammerhead_ribozyme from 1 species
ACCCAGCUGAUGAGUCCGAAAUAGGACGUAAGGCACUUCCUAGAU